UCUGCAUGACUGCGGUGAGUCCACUUCGUCGUCUUCUAUCACUGGCACUAUUUCCACUUGCACUACUGCUACCAUUUCCAUCCGCGUUUCCACUAACACCACUAGUAACUGUUGACGAUUGUGUGCAUUGUACCAAUGAAGGACUACCAGGUUGUAACUAUAAACAAAAAUGCUGCAAGUGUUCACGACUACCAGGUUGACUCCAUCCACCAUUCUCUCCGCCACUAGAACCGCUACCGUGUUGUUGAUAAAAAACAUGAAGAUUGGCUCCUCCAUCGGAGGCUCUUCGUCCAAAACUUCCUGCUAUAUGAAGUAAUAAAAAUACAAUUAGAUAAUAUAUAAGAGAAAAAUACAAUAAUUAUAUGCUUCCAAUUAAUCAAGAAGAAAAUAGAAAUAAACUCACUAGCACCCAUGACA
rnacentral:lncRNA from 1 species